CAGAAUAUAGUUUAAUAAAAAAUUUUAAUUUUGGAGAUUAAGGAUGUGAGAUAUAAGUUGUUCUGA
rnacentral:tRNA from 1 species